UACGGGGGGGGCAAGCGUUGUUCGGAAUUACUGGGCGUAAAGGGCUCGUAGGCGGCCUACUAAGUCAGACGUGAAAUCCCUCGGCUUAACCGGGGAACUGCGUCUGAUACUGGAUGGCUUGAGUUUGGGAGAGGGAUGCGGAAUUCCAGGUGUAGCGGUGAAAUGCGUAGAUAUCUGGAGGAACACCGGUGGCGAAGGCGGCAUCCUGGACCAACACUGACGCUGAGUGAGCGAAAGCCAGGGGAGCAAACGGG
rnacentral:rRNA from 1 species